UUCUGGAAAAAUGUUAACCAAAGGAUUGGGUACAGCACCUGCUGCCCUGGGAAAUGGAGCCAUAGCAAACGGUGGCUCCGCAUUAAAGCCCAACAAGCCUGGAUAUGGAGGGUGGCCUUCAUACGGUGGAAUUGGUACAGGCUUUCGAAUGGUGCCCCAGCUAGCUACCAAACAAAAAGG